UUUCAGUCGGACAUUCCCACUGAAAGACCCCCGGAGCAGGGAGACCCUCACUCAAGUCUCGGGAUGGCACGAUCCCCCAAGAACUCACGUUAAACC
rnacentral:pre_miRNA from 14 species